GGAUGUGAGGGCGAUCUCUCUGUGACAUCUAUCACCCCAUUGAUUGCCAGGGUAGAUUCUACUGAUUUGACUGGCUAGGCGGGUGUCCCCUUCCUCCCUCACUGCUCCAUAUGCGUCUCUCCUGAAGCUGUAAGCUGGGUCAAAGAGGACGACCUUCCCUGAUAGAGGAGGACCAUUCUUCAGUCAAGGGUAUAUGAGUAGCUGCUCUCCCCUGUUAGAACCUCCAAACAAACUCUCAAGAACUCUCCAAAAGAUAUCUCAUCAUGGACCAAGCAGGACAUUUACCUGAGCUUAAGCUAUCUCCCACAACUGCCUCUUCAUGGGGCAAACAAGAUAUUUGC
rnacentral:snRNA from 1 species